rnacentral:rRNA from 1 species
GGGGAAUUUUGGACAAUGGGGGCAACCCUGAUCCAGCCAUGCCGCGUGAGUGAAGAAGGCCUUCGGGUUGUAAAGCUCUUUCGGCGGGGAAGAAAUGGCAACGGCUAAUAUCCGUUGUUGAUGACGGUACCCGCAUAAGAAGCACCGGCUAACUUCGUGCCAGCAGCCGCGGUAAUACGAAGGGUGCAAGCGUUACUCGGAAUUACUGGGCGUAAAGCGUGCGUAGGUGGUCGUUUAAGUCCGUUGUGAAAGCCCUGGGCUCAACCUGGGAACUGCAGUGGAUACUGGACGACUAGAGUGUGGUAGAGGGUAGCGGAAUUCCUGGUGUAGCAGUGAAAUGCGUAGAGAUCAGGGGGAACAUCCAUGGCGAAGGCAGCUACCUGGACCAACACUGACACUGAGGCACGAAAGCGUGGGGAGCAAACA